GAUGAACGCUGGCGGCGUGCCUAAUACAUGCAAGUCGAGCGAAUGGAUUAAGAGCUUGCUCUUAUGAAGUUAGCGGCGGACGGGUGAGUAACACGUGGGUAACCUGCCCAUAAGACUGGGAUAACUCCGGGAAACCGGGGCUAAUACCGGAUAACAUUUUGAACCGCAUGGUUCGAAAUUGAAAGGCGGCUUCGGCUGUCACUUAUGGAUGGACCCGCGUCGCAUUAGCUAGUUGGUGAGGUAACGGCUCACCAAGGCAACGAUGCGUAGCCGACCUGAGGGGGUGCUCGGCCACACUGGGACUGAGACCCGGCCCAGACUCCUACGGGAGGCAGCAGAAGGGAAUCUUCCGCAAUGGACGAAAGUCUGACGGAGCAACGCCGCGUGAGUGAUGAAGGCUUUCGGGUCGUAAAACUCUGUUGUUAGGGAAGAACAAGUGCUAGUUGAAUAAGCUGGCACCUUGACGGUACCUAACCAGAAAGCCACGGCUAACUACGUGCCAGCCGCCGCGGUAA
rnacentral:rRNA from 1 species